rfam:Aedes aegypti strain Liverpool supercont1.385 genomic scaffold, whole genome shotgun sequence.
GUACCACUUUCGUGGUGUUUAGACGUAUUACAUGAUUUUUUGAACAUAACUGUAGUACGGCUAGAACUCCACGGAUGUUGGCA